rnacentral:lncRNA from 1 species
AUGAAGCUCCCCAACGCCCCCUGGAGGGGGAAAAAACAGACACCACCCCGGACCCCAACAACAACACUAUCAUUAAAUGAAAAAACUAAACAGGUGUUACUACAGAAACUGGAAAAGGAUAAAGCCAUUGACAGACCAAAAUACUACCGUCUAUAUCCAGGAGAAACCAUCCCUUGCAUUUAUGGAUUGCCCAAGAUCCACAAACCAGGGACCCCUCUCAGACCCAUAGUAAGCAGCAUCAAUUCUGUAACCUACAACAUUUCCAAAUACUUGGCCUCCAUCUUGUCGCCCAUGGUUGGCAACACCCCACACCACAUCAAAAACUCCCAAGACUUUGCUCAAAAAGUCGUUGGACUCACACUACUUCCAGAAGAGACUAUGGUAUCUUAUGAUGUCACGUCACUCUUCACGUGCAUCCCCACCGCCAGCGCCAUAGACACCAUCCACAAGCACCUUCUAUUGGACAAGAAUCUUACAGAAAGAACAACCUUAACACCGGCCCAAAUCUGCACCAUGCUGGACCUGUGUUUGAACACCACCUAUUUCCAGUACAGAGAAGGCUUCUACAGGCAGAAACAUGGCUGUGCCAUGGGCUCACCAGUAUCCCCUAUAGUUGCCAAUCUAUACAUGGAGAAGGUGGAAUCCCAGGCCCUGACAUCCUUCACAGGAACUGCGCCAAGCCACUGGUUCAGGUAUGUGGACGACACCUGGGUCAAAAUUCAAAUACAAGAAUUGGAAGCGUUCUCCGAUCACCUCAACAAAACAGACGAGCAUGUAAAAUUCACCCGGGAAGAGGUAAAAGGAAACAGUCUGGCCUUUCUGGACUGCGCAGUCAAGAUCACUGAGGACAGAAAUCUCACCAUCGAAGUCUACAGAAAACCUACACACACCGACCAGUACCUCCAGUUUGACUCUCACCACCCGCUGGAACACAAGUUGGGAGUGAUCAGAACUCUCCAACACCGGGCCAGAGAAAUACCCACCACAUCCCAAGGCAGAAAGAAGGAACAGGACCACAUUAAGACAGCUCUCAAAACAUGUGGCUACCCAGACUGGGCCUUCACCAAAACCUCAAGAAAGCAAGACCUCAGCAAAGGAGAGGAGGAGAGAAACAAACGCCGCAGCGUUUCCAUCCCCUACCUGUCUGGAGUCUCGGAGAAGUUUAGGAGGAUCCUCCAGAAACACGACAUACCGGUUCAUUUCAAACCCAGCAACACUCUCAGACAGAGGUUAGUACACCCAAAGGACAAGACACCAAGACCCAAACAAAGUAAUGUUGUUUAUGCUGUACAGUGCCAGGAGAAAUGCAAGGAACUGUACAUUGGGGAAACCAAACAACCUCUACACAGAAGAAUGGCACAACACAGACGUGCCACCUCUUCGGGUCAGGAUUCAGCAGUCCACUUACACUUAAAGGAGAGUGGGCACUCCUUCGAGGACAGCCAAGUACGGAUACUGGCCAGAGAAGACCGCUGGUUCGAAAGGGGGGUCAAGGAAGCUAUCCAUGUUAAAUUGGAGAAACCAUCCUUAAACAGAGGUGGUGGCCUGAGGCACUUCCUAUCACCCACAUACAAUGCAGUCCUCCACUCCUUCCAACAGCAAAACAAACAUUCACACCAUUCCAGGAGACCCAGUGACUCAUCACCAUGUGACCCAGCAGACAAAGGGGAGACAUCUCAACAGAAACUAGGUGAACGACCUGACCAACGACCCUGCUAA